AGAAAAUAAUUUUAACAGGUCAUUUUGGGUCAAAAUCUAAUUGGUGGCUCAACCUAAACUUGACUUAUUUAAUAAAUGGGUUGGAAUUACAUACCCAAAUAGGAUCUGUAAUAAAUGGGUUAACUCGAAUUUGAAUUUUUUGGGCAAGAUUGGCAGGUAGGGUCAUUUUUUGACACCCCUAGCAAUGACGAAGAAUAAAGGGAUAAUGAAAGUAGUUUUAACUCCAGCCUAAAUUGUGUAGAUCUUGCAAAUUUUAGGUUUUACUAAAUCUUGAAUUUGCUUAUAAACCAGGAUUACAUCGUAUUUGAUUUUAAUAUUUUAUGGAAAGUUUUGGAACUUCAAAUUUUAUAAUAGUAUGUUUAAGUUAAGUAAUGCUUAAAUCUUGCCUAUAAUAAGAUACUGAAUAACCCUUUAAAGUGCAUAGAGAAAUUUUUUGAUACGCAAAGUCAUGAUUUUUUUUUUUUAAAGGAUUGUAUGAGAAGAAUAUUAGUUUGUAAUAAGAAAUCUCCUUAUGGGUAUAAAGUUGUCUAAGUAUAUUUUCUCAAACUUCAAGUUAUGGUUUAUCAAAUAAUAAUGAUUAGAUUAUGAGGAGAGUCAAGCAAAUGAUUAUGAUUAGGGGUGUAGGUGAGUUGAGUUGGCUCAAAUAGUACUCAUUAGUGAACUUGUAAGUCAGGUUUAUAGAACCAUGAGCUCGUUCAUCUCAAAUUAUAGCUUGUAUAUCAAACUAGCUUAAGCUAGCUUAGCUCAUGAGAUCAAAGUCGUUGAAUUUAACGCUUCAAUGAUCUCUACUUAUUCUCAUGCUUCGGAAGCAUUAGUGAGCUAUCGCCGCUGCCCUCGCCUAUGAUUUCCAUCGUUUCUUUCUCUGCGGAGUCUCAUUGUUAGUCCCAUUACCGCUUUCUCCAACAAGCAAUUGUUGCAGCGUUCUCUGUGACCACCCAUUAAUUAGUUAUAUGGAGAGCACCUAUUGCUGACUUGUAUAGCGAGUACUUGUAGCGAUCUCUUGUUGCUGCCUUAUUUAAUUAGCUCUUGGACGACUCGAGCCACGUGCAUGGGGUUGAGCCCUAUGUUUUUUCUUGUGAGAGGACUAACUUGUUGAACAUACAAGCUUAGUUUGAGUUUGCAUUGAUUAGUGCACGACUUGACUUGGCAACACCCUUGAUUAUGAGUAAAUUGAAUUGAACAAAAAAAAA